UACGAAGGGGGCUAGCGUUGUUCGGAAUUACUGGGCGUAAAGGGCUCGUAGGUGGCCAACUAAGUCAUACGUGAAAUCCCUCGGCUUAACCGGGGGAACUGCGUCUGAUACUGGAUGGCUUGAGGUUGGGAGAGGGAUGCGGAAUUCCAGGUGUAGCGGUGAAAUGCGUAGAUAUCUGGAGGAACACCGGUGGCGAAGGCGGCAUCCUGGACCAAUUCUGACACUGAGGAGCGAAAGCCAGGGGGAGCAAACGGGG
rnacentral:rRNA from 1 species